CAAGUGGAGAUACUGGGGUGCCAAAGAGCAGAGGGAUAAGUAACAAUAUGGGGAUGAGGUAGUGGGGUGUGCUGUUUACAGAUUGGCUGUGUACGUUCAGGCACAGUGAUUGGUAAAGGAAGUGUUGGCUUUGGGGAUGACCAGUGAAAUAUACCUGCUGGAGCGCUUGCUACCGGUGGGUGUUGCAUACACACCCACACACAGGUCCAGAGGAAGAGAGACAGAGAGAGCCUGAGAUUUCAUUAAAGGGCUUCCAAAUCCACAGCUCGUAACUUGAUGCAACCAGAGGGCAGAGGAAGAGAGACAGAAGACCAGAGGAAGAGCUGUCAUUAGUUGAAGGUGGGACGUGCUGUAUCAGGAAUAUGGUACCCACGAUAAGACAGCUCAGACCAAACAGCACUCCGAUGAAGCCCCACCCUUUUCCCGGGAAAUAUAUCACAUCACUUCACUUCUAUGAACGCUCACAGCUGGGGAAAAGUCGGGUAUAAGGGAAUCUUCAAUAGGAGUUUGAC